AUUGAACGCUGGCGGAAUGCUUUACACAUGCAAGUCGAACGGCAGCACGGACUUCGGUCUGGUGGCGAGUGGCGAACGGGUGAGUAAUAUAUCGGAACGUGCCCAGUCGUGGGGGAUAACGUAGUGAAAAUUACGCUAAUACCGCAUACGAUCUAUGGAUGAAAGCGGGGGAUCGCAAGACCUCGCGCGAUUGGAGCGGCCGAUAUCAGAUUAGGUAGUUGGUGAGGUAAAGGCUCACCAAGCCGACGAUCUGUAGCUGGUCUGAGAGGACGACCAGCCACACUGGAACUGAGACACGGUCCAGACUCCUACGGGAGGCAGCAGUGGGGAAUUUUGGACAAUGGACGCAAGUCUGAUCCAGCCAUUCCGCGUGCAGGACGAAGGCCUUCGGGUUGUAAACUGCUUUUGUACAGAACGAAAAGGUCUCUAUUAAUACUAGGGGCUCAUGACGGUACCGUAAGAAUAAGCACCGGCUAACUACGUGCCAGCCGCCGCCGUAAUAC
rnacentral:rRNA from 1 species